rnacentral:lncRNA from 1 species
AGCAUAUGGAAUAAAUCUCACGUACAAUCAAACCAGAAAGUUGAACUUUCUAUCUGUUUGUGUGAAAAGACUUAAAAUUUGUAGGAUAGAAUCUGAAGAAAUUGUAAUUAUUAUAGAGCUAGAUAGAGGCUGCAAUAUUGUUAAAAUCAGACGGCCGUGGUGAUGCAUAUAUACUGUAGAAUCAAAAGAGAGACCUUAAAAUGACCACUCACCUUCAUUGGUGGUUUAGGAAAUAUUUAUUAGGACAGCUGCUUUCAUCAAUAGAAUGCUACCUAGAGCAAUUUGAAGAAAAGAAAACAAGUUGCAAGUAGGAUAAAGUUGCGAAAGUGACAUAUAGUUUCCAACUACAAUUGUUGCUACGAAACAAAAACCACCAGUCAUCCCCCACUAGUAAAAUAGGGUAUUGCUCCAUAGUGCACAUCUGAAAUUCUAUGAAGCUCUUGUAAAUUUGUCAUUGUCUUGGACAUACCUUCUUGGUAGUUUCCAAGGCUAUGCUAAAGUUAGGUUAAGCUGUCACACUUUCUAUUUCCAAAGAUGUCCAAAAACAAUAUAUUAAUUCAUUUGCAUGAUGGGUUUUUCUCAAAGCACUCAAGUACUGAAAUGUAAUUUCCCGAUUACAAUUACAUAGCUAUCUUCCUCACUUUUUCUCUCUCUUUACUUUGAACCUCACAUUCUGUGUGAACUAUAUAUGUGAGGUUCCUUAACAAAGGUCAUUCCCAUACACACGCACACACUGCACCAAUUUUUUAUUUUUGAGUUCUGAAUGGGAGCUAGACUUACUACUUUUGAGAACAGGUCUGGUGUGGUGAUGGAAAUCAGAGUUUUCGUUCCACCAGCUCGGCCUGACCGGUAUCGAAAGAUCAUUAGUAUCAAACCAGGUGAAACCAAGAAAGUAGAGACCAUAACUUUAUGCUGUGAGGACAGAAAUCCUGAAAACCCUACAUUCUUAAUGGUUUUCAUGGAUGGUACUUACACUGGGGUUUCUUUACUGAAGUUCCACGUGGUGAAUUACGCAAAAAUUGUUGGCUAUCUUGAUGAAAAUGGUCUUGUCGUCCUGAAGGGCGUCAGACAUAGAUUGCCUGGUUUCUGCAGACUCAAGUUCUCUCUCUCUCUCUCUCUUCUCUCUCUCUCUCUUCUCUCUCUCUCACACCCACCCACACCCACACCCCACCCACACCCACACGCACCCCACAACACAGCACAAUUCUCAAAUCCGAUUUUGUAUGUACAUGUAGGUUUCGUUGAGAUUUCAAUAUUUUUUGUGUGUGAUAUCUUGUGAAGUUUAUACAGUGACGGUCCAUGUGACUGUAAUAUUAUUCACGGAAAAUACUUUGCUUGAAAUCAACUAAGAGUAGUUAAUGGGAUCCUAUUACUAGAACUCUAUUUCCUCAUAAUCUAAAUAUCUUGACAUAAUCAUAUGAAGGGUUUUUUAGAACUUCACAAGUUAGUAAUCAAUGAAGUCAAGCAGGCGAAUAUGAGACUUAGAAUCACGUCUCCUUAAUACUCCUGUGAUCCAAAUAUAGCCCUGGAUUGUAAAUGAGCGAUCAAAGUAGAUUUUGUUUUUUGAGUCCUAAAUUAUAUUGCUACCAAAACUGGGUUCGAGCUAACAUAUUUAUACCAGUUUAGGUAGUAUUGAACCAUUUUUCUCUAGUUUUAAUAUUGUGACUUGACUUUGUUCAUGCUUAAGUGGCUGUGGCUCGGUACUGUGGAUGAAAUACAGAGGAUAUGGCGAGGAGAAAUCUACCAAUGAUCAUCAGCGUGGUUUGGUACUGCUUUUCUCUUCUUUUUCUCGAUUGGAUCUUCUUUCUAACUUAAAUUUCUUGAUGUCACAAUCAUCAAUUAUCGUUCACCAUUUAGGAUCAAGUUUAUGGCACACGCACACUCAAGUUCGGCCAUUUUCAUCUUACGGAGAAAUUGCUUUCUACUUCUCAUGUGAUUGGCUGUUAUGAACGCUGAGGGGGAUGGACUGUUAAGUAAACACUUAGACAUCUAAAUAAAAACUACUCAUGGUGCUAGUAAUCGAUAUUCGCCCCUUCUGUCAUUGAAGAAAGAAUGUAUUUGAUCUGUAUAGUUUGUCACCAGAACUCUUUCGUAGGAACUUGUUUUAAAUCUUGAUGUUGUAACUAUGUUUUUGCCUAGUUACUUCUACAAUUUGGAUGUUUUGGAAUUUCCUAGAUCCGGGGUAAGCGGGCGGGAAGGACCGCAAGUUUUGCAGGGAAAUCAAACGAAGUCAGAUUUUGGAGUGAAUACAUUUGGAGAUAAAAACGACGUAGUUUUGGUUGGGAUUUUUUUUACCCAAGAAUCAAAAUGAUGCGUUUUGGACUCCCUGUCGGGUUGCGGAGUUGCUCCCGCAAGAAAUCCCCUUGAAUCCUAGACUCAGCGAUUGAGACGAGACAGCGUCUGAGGUCAGGGGAAAUAAAUUAGGUUGAUGUUAUUUGAAAUUUAGGAAAACUGGCGGAGAUUGACGGAAAAAAAUUUUUAAGGAAUGGAGAUUUGGUUGGAAAAAUUUUUGAAUUGAAAAUAAGAUUUUGAAAAAAAAAAAAAAAAUUCCUCCAUUUUGAGACUUGGGUGAAAUUACUCUCUAAAGAAUGAUUAUACAACUCUCCCCUUUUCCUUUGUUGGAACUUUGGGGAAGAGUGGAAAAUGACUAGAAAUUGUAAUUUUUCCUCUUCCUUUAUUUGUUUCUUUUAGUUUUAGGAGGGGACAGGAAAUUAAAAAACAAUUAGAACUUAUUAAAUUCUUAUUUUGAAAUCUUCCUUUUUUAUUUUUUUGUUCUUACUCUCUUUGUAUUUAAGUGGUUUCAAAUUUUCUUUCAUCUCUUCUAUAACCAAAUAAGGAGAAAUGAUUGUACUUUCUCAUUUUUAUUUUAUUUUCUUGCAAAACCCAAACAUCAAGAAAUUGUUUUCCUAAAAUAUUUUCCCUUCAAUCGAUUCUCUACUUUCUGUUCUUUGUGAUCCACGUGAAGUUCCAAACAAAGCCUUAAUUUGUUAAGUGGAAUUAAUUUAAAUUUAUAACAUAUAUAAAGUAUAUUGUUCUAGUUGCGAGUAGGACAGAAAGUUGCGAAGUGACUAUAGUUUAUAACUACAAUUGUUUGCUACCAAACAAAAACCACCAGUUCAUCCCCCACCAGUAAAAAUAGCGGUAUUGCUCCAUAGUGCACACUGACAUUCUAUGAAACUCUUGUAAAUUUGUCAUUGUCUUGGACAACCUCUUGGUAGUUUCCAAGGCGAGACUUAAGCUAGGUUAAGCGUCACACUUUCUAUUUCCAAAGAUGUCCCCAAAAACAAUAAUAAUUCAUUGCAUGGAUGGGUUUUCCAAACACCUCAAGUACUGAAAUGUAUUCCCGAUUACAAUUACAUAGCUAUCUUCCUCACUUUUUCUCUAUCUGUUACUUUGAAACCUCAAUUCUGAUAGAACUAUAUAUGUGAGGUCCUUAACCAAAGGUCAUUCCCACACACGCACCACUUGCACCAAUUUUAUUUUGAGUUCUGAAUGGGAGCUAGACUUACUACUUUUGAGAAACAGGUCUGGUGUGGAGAUGGAAAUUAGGUUUUCGUUCCACCAACUCGACCUGACCAGUAUUGAGAUCAUUUAGUAUCAAACAGGUGAAAACCAGAAAGUAGAGGACUAACUAAACUUUAUGCGUGAGGCCUAGAAAUCCUGAAAACUACAUGCUUAAUGGUUUUCAUGAUGAGUACUACACGGGGUUCUUUAUGAAGUUCCACGUGGUUGAAGAAUUACGCAAAAAUAUAUGGCUAUCUUGAUGCAAAUGGUCUGUCGUCCUGAAGGGCGGUUAGACAUAUAUGCCUGGUGUCUGCGGGCUCACGUCCUCGCACCCCACCCACACCCCAAACACAUCACAAUUCUCAAAUCCGAUUUGUAUGUACAUGGAAGUUUUUGUUGAGUAUUUUUGUUACGGAUUUUAUGCUCGAAGACAUUGCUUUGUGUAAUAAUUUUUAAGUUAUUUAUUAUUAAAUUAGUUAAAACUCAUGUUUAUUAUAAGUGCUUUUAUGAUAUUAUUCCUGAUAUAAAUAAAAGACACGUGCAUUUAAUAUUUUAGGUUUUGAUUCACAAAAGAGUGUGAAUGAAAUUUUUGCUGGGUACAAUAAACUCAGAUGAGUUAGAUAGUAACAUUAACGUAUAUGCGUUGAAUAUUAAUAUGAUGGAAUUCACGUUCUAAUAUAGAUAUUGAUAAUACUCCUGGGGUGGGGGGGGGGAAAAACAAGAAUACUUAUAAGGUUUGAUUAUGUCAAACUCUGCAAGGUGUGAAUUAUAAUCCGACAUAUCAAAUAUGUCAAGUGAAGGUCUAAAGGGAAUAAAUAUCUCUAUAAAUUUAAUUAUCAGUAAUUUAAUUUAAUAAAACAGGAUAUGUGAUCUUAACGCGGAGAUAAAAAGGUAUUAAUAAAAAUGAUACUCGAAAAUAUAAUUACUGGUUAUAAAAAGAGUGCAAUUAUAACUUAUUUAGUGGGGAUUAAUAAUAAUUUACAUAAAUAGGGAUUAAUCCUUGUUUGAUUAGGAAUCACUUAUUUAUGUAGGAAGUCUAGUCAGACUUAUUCCUUCGGUCUAUGUUGCCUUUAUAUAUACGCACUGUAUUAACAGUUAGGGUUACGAUAUAUUCUGAGAUUCAUAUUUUGGUGAGAGCGUAGAAUUCUAGCAGCCGCGAGCCCACUAUCUCUGGUGUAGGGCGAGGCUGAUACCUGUUGCUGUUCGGAAUCAACGGGGGUAUGUUCUGAUCAUGUAAAAGUUUUCUACUAAUUAGAUUAGAUGUUUUUGGUGUUACGAGCAACGCUCAACCAGAUCGUUAAAAAAUUCGUAGUUCCCAUCAAUUUCAAUAUUUUUGUGGAUAUCAUAUGAAGUUUACUACCGGUGACGGUCCAUUAUAACCGUAAUCUUGUUAUGACCUUGUUAUGAAUUAAUGUGGGGUCCGUAUUAAUUAUGCUGAGCAUUCUAUUGCCCGUGUGUUCUAUAAUUUUGAGGGAACCAGAAAUAAACUAAUUUCU